AGAAACGAGGCGGUAUCUCAUUUAACCCUUGAAGCCACCGACCCGUUCAAAGUUUCUCUCUGAUAUGAAAAACGAAAGCCAACGUGAACUUUGCGGACCCCGUGGUCCGCU
rnacentral:other from 1 species